rnacentral:lncRNA from 1 species
AGUCGCCGAGCUAGGGGAUCUGCUGAAAGAGGUGAUAGACAAGGUAAGCAAUCAGAGCUCCAAGCAAUCAGUCCCAGAUCAGAAGUUUGAUUUCGAGUUCUGGCUGAUUGUUAUCAUUCUCCUUAUCUUGCAGGCAGCAUGAAGGAUAAAGAGAAGAAAAUGAGAAAAUGUGAUAUGAGAUACUUUUGCUUUUGAAGAAGUAACUUUCCACAGGCUUAUUCUUGAACUGAGUUGGAGGGUUUUCUGGUUUCCGCCAGAGUAUAAGGCCGACUGAAGAAUUUGAGGGUCAAAACAAGUCCAUCAAAUCUAGAGUACGUUCGACCCUGCUGAUAUGGGAUACUUUUGCUGUUGACAAAGUAG